UCAGCAGGCCUCAGGCAGAAGCAGACAAGAAGGGUAAGAAGUAAAGGAGAGGGAGGAAAGGAGUUGAAAGAAUAAGAGAAUGAGGUGAAAGCUGAAGUCCCCACAGAGAGUCUUGCUCUGUCACCCAGGCUGGAGUGCAGUGGUGUAAUCUCAGCUCACCACAACCUUCACCUCCUGGGUUCAAGUGAUUCUUGUGCCUCAGCCUCCCAAGCAGCUGGGACCACAGAGGAGAUCUCUGAAGAAAUUGCUGAUGAAAGUCCAACAGGCUCUUCCAGUUUGUCUGGUCGGUCACAUUUGCUGAAACCUGGAGGAAUUGUUAGCGGAAGCUCAACAGGCCUGACUCAGUCUGACUGUCCAUUCUUCUGGAAGCUGCAGAGAAAAGAAACCUGGAAACCUUAUAUGCUGACAAAAAGGGACACAAUUGGAUAUGAUGGUUAUUUUACCAAGGUUUUGAAAUGUUGUGCUUUCAAAUAUAAACAGACUGCUUUAAGGAAUCGAAGUUGACUUAUAGAGCCAAUAAAAGCCCUGCAGGAAA